rnacentral:rRNA from 1 species
AGGACGAACGCUGGCGGCGCGCUUAACACAUGCAAGUCGAGCGAGAACCUGGCCUUCGGGCCUGGGGAAAGCGGCGAACGGGUGAGUAACACGUGGGUAACCCACCCUUGGUACCGGGAUAGCCCGAGGAAACUCGGAUUAAUACCGGAUGGCCCAACAGCUCUUCGGGGCGGUUGGAAAAAGUAGCUUCGGCCUCCGACCAAGGACGGGCCCGCGGCGGAUUAGCUUGUUGGUGAGGUAACGGCUCACCAAGGCGACGAUCCGUAGCUGGUCUGAGAGGACGAUCAGCCACACUGGGACUGAGACACGGCCCAGACUCCUACGGGAGGCAGCAGUGGGGAAUCUUGCGCAAUGGGCGAAAGCCUGACGCAGCGACGCCGCGUGGGGGAAGAAGGCUUUCGGGUUGUAAACCCCUUUCAGGAAGGACGAAGCCACUCGGGUGAAUAGCCCAGAGGGUGACGGUACUUCCAGAAGAAGCCCGGCUAACUACGUGCCAGCAGCCGCGGUAA